CGGCUCAGUAACACGUAGUCAACCUGCCCUGGAGACAUGGACAACCCCGGGAAACUGGGAUUAAUCCGUGAUAGGUCAUCUCAUCUGGAAGGAGAGAUGGCUUAAAGGGGUGCGCGGGCUUCUUCUGCGUAUUUGCUCCAGGAUGGGACUGCGUCCGAUCAGGCUGUUGGCGGGGUAAUGGCCCACCAAACCUGUAACCGGUACGGGCCUUGAGAGAGGUGGCCCGGAGAUGGACACUGAGAGAAGGGUCCAGGUCCUACGGGGCGCAGCAGGCGCGAAACCUUCGCAAUGCGCGAAAGCGUGACGAGGUUAAUCCGAGUGACUCCCGCUGAGGGGGUCUUUUGUCAGCUGUAAAUAGGCAGGCGAAUAAGGGGAGGGCAAGCCUGGUGUCAGCCGCCGCGGUAAUACCAGCUCCUCGAGUGGUCGGGGCGAUUAUUGGGCCUAAAGCAUCCGUAGCCGGUUCCGUAGGUCCUCUGUUAAAUCCAACCGCUUAACGGUUGACAUGCAGAGGAUACCGCGAGACUAGGAGGCGGGAGAGGCGGACGGUACUCCGCGUGUAGGGGUAAAAUCCUUUGAUCCGCGGAAGA
rnacentral:rRNA from 1 species